rnacentral:rRNA from 1 species
GCUUACGGCCACACCGGCCUGAGUACGCCUGAUCUCGCCUGAUCUCGGAAGCUAAGCAGGGUCGGGCCUGGUAGUACUUGGAUGGGAGACCGCCUGGGAAUACAGGUGCUGUAAGCU